rnacentral:RNase_P_RNA from 1 species
UGGGUCGGCCAGACGGUCGCGUGGCGGGAAACCGCACCGAGGAACGUCCGGGCUCCACAGAGCAGGGUGGUGGGUAACACCCACCCGGAGUAAUCCGCGAGACAGUGCCACAGAGAGAAGACCGCCGGGAUUCGUCCCGGUAAGGGUGAAAGGGUGGCGUAAGAGACCACCAGGGGUCGUGGUGACACGAUCUGCUCGGUAAACCUCACCCGGAGCAAGACCAGACAGAGGAUGUUGACGCGGCUCGCCGAGUCCUCGGGUAGGUCGCUGGAGCGGCGCGGCAACGUGUCGCCGAGAGAGAUGGCCGUCACGGUGAUUCAUCACCGGACAGAACCCGGCGUACCGGCCGGCCCGUUCA